rnacentral:rRNA from 1 species
UCGGGAUAACACCUGGAAACAGAUGCUAAUACCGGAUAACAACAGAUGAUGCCUAUCAACUGUUUAAAAGAUGGUUCUGCUAUCACUCUUGGAUGGACCUGCGGUGCAUUAGCUAGUUGGUAGGGUAACGGCCUACCAAGGCGAUGAUGCAUAGCCGAGUUGAGAGACUGAUCGGCCACAUUGGGACUGAGACACGGCCCAAACUCCUACGGGAGGCAGCAGGU